UACAGGGGGGGCAAGCGUUGUCCGGAAUUAUCGGGCGUAAAGAGCUCGUAGGCGGCUUGUCACGUCGGGUGUGAAAGCCCGGGGCUUAACCCCGGGUCUGCAUUCGAUACGGGCUAGCUAGAGUGUGGUAGGGGAGAUCGGAAUUCCUGGUGUAGCGGUGAAAUGCGCAGAUAUCGGGAGGAACACCGGUGGCGAAGGCGGUUCUCUGGGCCUGUACUGACGCUGAGGAGCGAAAGCAUGGGGAGCGAACAGG
rnacentral:rRNA from 1 species